AUGACCCUUCAGCACCGUUUGUGGAGCCAAACUGAGAAGUGCGAGCUCUGCUCAAAGUGUGUCCACACGAGAGUGCAAGUGUGUGGAGGUGGUCCCCUCUCUUCCAAAAAUGCCCCUUUAGGGCAGUUCUUUAGCAUCUGUCUCUUCUGCAUGCUCUGCUGUCUACAGGAGGAAGGAGACAGGAGAGAAGAGAGCCAGGUCAGCAGCUACAAAGCUGGUACCCAUCCCACUUGGGCUCAAUGGGGUUCAAAGACAGGUGAAUUUCGGCCAAGGCACCUCUCCAAAUAUUUGCUUUUGGUGACUGAGGCUGAGAUGAUUAUCGAUGCCAUGAAAAACAAGAUCAAAGGGAAGUCACUGUGAGUCCCUAAUCGUGGCAGCUCAGCAGCUCUGCUCUUGGCAUGACCUCGGCCAAGCACAGCUUCUGCUCAGUGACGGUUCUUGAUGCGCUUCUUGUGAAAUCGCCUAUGAGACAGCAACAAGGCUGUUUCAGAACCUCAGAACCAGGAAGCCAUUCCCUGGAAGAACAGAGGGAGGCUCAGUGUGGUUGCCCUAGAUGAGGGGAGAGA
rnacentral:lncRNA from 1 species